UGGAAUUGCAGAACACAUUGAACAUCGACACCUUGAACGCACAUGGCGGCCUCGGGUCCAUCCCGGGGCCACGCCCGUCUGAGGGUCG
rnacentral:rRNA from 2 species